rnacentral:rRNA from 1 species
GUAUCAUGGCUCAGGAUGAACGCUAGCGGCAGGCCUAAUACAUGCAAGUCGAGGGGCAGCGCGGUAGCAAUACUGGCGGCGACCGGCGCACGGGUGCGUAACACGUAUGCAACCUACCUUCAACUGGAGGAUAGCCCGGGGGAAACUCGGAUUAAUACUCCAUAACACAGGGAUCCCGCAUGGGAAUAUUGUUAAAGCUACGGCGGUUGAAGAUGGGCAUGCGUUCGAUUAGCUAGUUGGUGUAGGUAACGGCUCACCAAGGCUACGAUCGAUAGGGGGUCUGAGAGGAUGAUCCCCCACACUGGUACUGAGAUACGGACCAGACUCCUACGGGAGGCAGCAGUAGGGAAUAUUGGUCAAUGGGCGCAAGCCUGAACCAGCCAUGCCGCGUGCAGGAAGAAGGCCCUCUGGGUUGUAAACUGCUUUUGAUAGGGAACAAAUGCCACUUGCGAGUGGAGCUGAGUGUACCUAUAGAAUAAGCACCGGCUAACUCCGUG